rnacentral:rRNA from 1 species
AGCAGCCGCGGUAAUUCCAGCUCCAAUAGCGUAUAUUAAAGUUGUUGCAGUUAAAAAGCUCGUAGUUGAAUUUUAGGCCUGGCCAGGCGGUCCGUCUUUGGCGAGUACUGUCUUGUUGUCGGGUCUUCCUUCUGGUGAACCAGUAUGUCCUUCAUUGGGUGUGUUGGGGAGCCAGGACCAUUACCUUGAAAAAAAUUAGAGUGUUUAAAGCGGGCUAUUGCUUGAAUAGAUUAGCAUGGAAUAAUAGAAUAGGACGUUGUGGUUCUAUUUUGUUGGUUUCUAGGACCACCGUAAUGAUUAAUAGGGAUAGUUGGGGGCAUUAGUAUUCAAUUGUCAGAGGUGAAAUUCUUGGAUUUAUUGAAGACUAACUACUGCGAAAGCAUUUGCCAAGGAUGUUUUCAUUAAUCAAGAACGAAAGUUAGGGGAUCGAAGACGAUCAGAUACCGUCGUAGUCUUAACCAUAAACUAUGCCGACUAGGAAUCGGGCGACGUUAUUUUACGACUCGCUCGGCGCCUUAUG